ACCACAUUGGUAGCAUUCCUGACCGCAUCACAGCUACUAACGACAUUAGGGUACUUCACAGGUGGUUUUGGAAACCGUCUGCUGACAGCACAGAUUAAUAUAGACCAUAAACAAGGAAUAUUGAGGACAACUGUUAAGGCUUGCGUGAACAUAAUAAUAUGUUGAGGAACAAAAUCAUGCUUGACUGUCUCUGGAAGUUAAGGUUUCGGUCGAGAAAAUUUACUUCUAUAUACGAACGCCGCCGUCUUACUGUUAGACACGUAGUACAUUGUCCGUCACAGUGGCUAACAGUGGAAUCUUGCCUCUGGGAAUGACCGCGGCAACUGUGGUGUACCUUGAUCUAUUGACCCUUGUACCAUGUUCCAAAUGAUGAAUAUUUGCUAUACAUCUGAUAAGUUCCAGUUAGAUUUGUCAAAACAGCGUUUUGUAUAUUAAUCGAGCGAAUAUACAUAAUGAUUGAUA